UGAUUGUAGACCCUUUCCAGUUGACAUUCAA
rnacentral:piRNA from 1 species